rnacentral:rRNA from 1 species
CACGUAGGGGACGAGCGUUGUCCGGAUUCAUUGGGCGUAAAGCGCGCGUAGGCGGCUCGGAAAGUCGGUCGUGAAAUGCCGGGGCUCAACCCCGGGACUGCGUCCGAUACUCUCGAGCUGGAGGCAGGUAGGGGAGAUCGGAAUUCCUGGUGUAGCGGUGAAAUGCGCAGAUAUCAGGAGGAACACCGGUGGCGAAGGCGGGACUCUGGGCCGAUACUGACGCUGAGGAGCGAAAGCGUGGGGAGCAAACAGG